CCUACGGGAGGCAGCAGUAGGGAAUCUUUCACAAUGGGCGAAAGCCUGAUGGAGCAACGCCGCGUGCAGGAUGAAGGCCUCGGGUUGUAAACUGCUUUUAUAAGCGAGAAAUAUGAUGGUAACUUAUGAAUAAGGAUCGGCUAACUACGUUCCAGCAGCCGCGGUCAUACGUAGGAUCCGAGCAUUAUCCGGGGUGACUGGGUGUAAAGAGUUGCGUAGGUGGCAUAAUAAGUAGCUAGUGAAAUCUGGUGGCUCAACCAUUCAGACUAUUAGCUAAACUGUUAAGCUCGAGACCGUUAGGGGUAACUGGAAUUUCUAGUGUAGGAGGGAAAUCCGUAGAUAUUAGAAGGAACACCAAUAGCGUAGGCAGGUUGCUGGGACGGUUCUGACACUAAGGCACGAAAGCGUAGGGAGCAAACGGGAUUAGAUACCCUGGUAGUC
rnacentral:rRNA from 1 species